rnacentral:lncRNA from 1 species
GAGGACCCAAGAACUCUGUGUUUUUAUUCACCAAUCACAGAUAACUUGAGAAUGGGCAACUGCCUCUGUAACUCUCCAAGCUCCAAGGUGUUUGAACCCAGAUUCCUGUUAGCUAAAAAGAGGAGAGAACAGAUAUCUCGGCUAUAGGAACUGGCGGUUGGUCCCCAGCAGAUUCCAGUGCCCAUCAGUGGCUACAGUUGGACCUGGGAAACAGAGUAGAGAUUACAGCAGUGGCUACACAGGGAAGAUAUGGGAGUGCUGACUGGGUGACAAGCUAUCACCUGAUGUUUAGUGACACAGGGCACAACUGGCAACAGUACAAGCAAGAAAACAGCAUAUGGGUAGGCAAUACUUUUCUCUGCCAAUAAAUAAAGAUGAAAUUUGCUAAUUCU